AGACCCUAUCCCAUACGUACGUUUAUUCCAGUAGAGCAGAGGAGCAUCAUUGUGAGUAGGACGGACGACCUCUUAGAUAUAUAUUCAGGGGCGUAAAACACAGCAUACUACGCAGGUUGUUUAUUUGACAGAAUUCUGUUCAUUAAAUAGAAGAGCCUGCACAUCACCCUUAAAACUCAGAAUGAUAAAGUUGGUUACAUAUGCAUCACUCUCCUACAUUGCGAAGGUUUUCUACAAUGAGAAGAGAUGGCUAAUAUAUUGAGACUGACAAGUGGAAGAAGGCGUGUAAGUAAUCAACAACAGAACCGUUAUAUUCAUUUAACUAUUCAAAAAAAUUCAACUAUGGCAAUACCUGCAUUCCAAAGAGAUAUACGUGUUGCUUUAGUAGUUCAAGUAUCGGUCUCUACAUUGCGCAGGUAAAUACUGGCAACAGGUUUGAGGUCUCGCUGAUCAUUAAGAGUAUCCCGACUAAAACCUGUGCAUAAAGGUCUUUGACUAUAGUGGGCACAAGAGCACACGUUUUUUGGUACAGGAUAGUCAUGACUUACGUCAGACUAUGGCGAGGAGUUGUUGCUGAAGGCUUUCGUUUUUAUAGAUGCUAACUCACCUUACCAGAGCUGUAAAUAAGUAUCUGGCAUCGAAUGGCAUCAAUCGUUUGGACUGGUCCACAUUAAUACCCGACAUACAUUCGAGGGCAAAAAUAGCAUGUAUAAAGUCACCUAGGUCUAUAGAAGAGUUUGUUCAUGCUAGUCGGGAAGCUUGUUACUUUCUACUUUGUAUUUAAAAAUAAGCCUUUAUAUUAAAAAAAAUCUUAAGAGUAAUAACUUGUAUUUUAUAAGCAUUUUAGUUGUUUCUUAAUUAAACCUAAUCAAUUAAUA